rnacentral:rRNA from 1 species
UACGUAGGGUGCAAGCGUUUAAUCGGAAUUACUGGGCGUAAAGCGUGCGCAGGCGGUGAUGUAAGACAGAUGUGAAAUCCCCGGGCUCAACCUGGGAACUGCAUUUGUGACUGCAUCGCUUGAGUGCGGCAGAGGGGGGUGGAAUUCCACGUGUAGCAGUGAAAUGCGUAGAGUAUGUGGAGGAACACCGAUGGCGAAGGCACCCUCCGGCGGUCAACACUGACGCUCAUGCACGAAAGCGUGGGGAGCAAACAGG